AGGGUGGGUGUGAUGUUAUAAGCUGAGGAAAAAGUCGUGCAUGCAAGCAGCCUAUUUGUGUUAUGGUAAAUAUACUUUGUUUUUAAUUUUGACUGGAGUUAAGGGGAAUAGCAGUUGUAGACCACAAGAGCUGGGAGGAGACAGCAGAGCAGUUGGGUGGUGAGGAAGGAGAGGAUGUGAAGAGCAGUCAGGAUGAACCUGCUAUGGGAAGUCUGAAGUUCAGACUGUUCUGAAAACAGCUUAUUUUAUCCACAGCUCCUAGUUGCAGAACCUCCAAGAUACUUCUCUUCUGGGUCUGGCAGAAGAUCAGUUUGUUUGUCCUGAAAAGCUCUGGGAGAUGGAUUUGUGCAAAGCAUCUGGAAGAGCCUGGCUGUAACUCACACUGCCUCUCCAAGGAUGGAGUCCCUCUGUGCUGAGCAGGGGCUCUGCAACCAUCUCUAUUGCACAGAGACGCCCCGAUGCAAGUGCUAAUCAACCCAAGCGAUGAUUGCAAUUGCACUGCAACUUAUUUUGAUAAUGUGUUUUGGCUCCUUAGCUACAGGUCCAAAUAAUUUAGCAGUCAUCCAGACACCGACGAAAGUACACUUAUCAAUUGGAGACUCCACGGAAAUUGCAUGUAUUUGGGAAAAAAUCAGUUCGAUUGAGAGGUAUAGAGUAAGCUGGUAUCUUGUCAAUGAAGAGAACAUCACAAAAACUGUAACAUCGGAGCUUGUCUACAUAUCCAAUGUCACCCACAAAAACAAGGAUGUGCUAGUGAUAGAAGCUGCCAAUGUAAAUAACACUGGAUUUUACUACUGUGAGAUAAUUAUUGAAAUACCUUUCUGUGAAAGAGUAUAUGGAAAUGGAACAACACUGACUGUUGAAAUGAAAGAAGCUGACUCACUCGAAAAGAGAGAGAUGGCAAUUUUGGCCAUCAUUCCUUUCUUAGUGGCAGUGGGAAGCUUGUAUCUUUGCUGCAAAAAGAAACAGGACUCAAAACUUUCUGGUUCUACCCAGCUUCCUAUGCCAGAAGAAAGACAUGAGGAGGAGCAGAUGCUUCAGCUAGAUGAACUUCAUGGAAGAAGUGAAUUCAUCAAUGAAGCAGCUGAAGAAAACUCAUCAUGUAAUUCUGCUGAAUGGAACGUGAUCAUUUUAAUACAAAUUGUGGUCUUUUCUGUUAUUAGCUGUGGCUUUCAGUGCAAAAGCUGUGUCUACACUGUAUGAAUCAUUUGAUCUUUUUUGCAAUGAACCAAGAUAAAAGAUGGCAAAUCCAUUGUGACUACUGUAUCCAGUGCAGCAGAUGAAGAAAGCCCAUGAAUGAGGGCAGCUGAAGAGUCAGGAACAAAAGUGAGACAAGGAUUUACUAUCUACUUUGACACUAAGAACUAAAGGAUCAUGUCAUAAAUAACCGGUAUGGAUAAAGAUCUAUGAAACUGAAAACAAUACCAUAAUUUGCUGCUGAAAUAUGGAUUACAUGAGUCUGCUGUCAGAAGCACAUCAGUGGGACAAUAUGCCAGAACAAAUGUUGGUUCAGAACAGUCUCUGAAUGUUUUGUCAUUGACUUUAUCAUAAGGAUCUGUGAAUUUGGAGUGUUCACAGUUUUAGAAGACUAUGUCUUCAACUCUACCCCCAAUAUCCAGAGUGCAGAACUAAUAAGGGAUGUAUUGCCAUACUUCGUGUCUUCUGGAUUGAACGGUAUUUUUCAACAAAAGUGUUACUUCAGGCAGCCAAGCAUUGGCUGCCUGAAAUUUAAUGGCAAUCUUUCAACCAAAUAGGUAGGUACUACAUAUAGGACGAAGUCUGAUCCCUGAAACAGUCAUCAGUGCUGACUGCAUCUUACCAAGGGUGAUAUGCCAAAAGGCAUUACUUUCCUGCAGACAGGAACUGCUGAUGUUAAUUUAUUCACAAUAUUAAAGCCUGCCAGAGUAGGUAGUCUCCUAUGGUCAAUGAAAUACUCAGUUUAAAUGAAAUUAUAUAUAAUAGAAUUAUAUAUAAUUAUCAUUUGAUUGUGGGGAGGUUUGGAGCAAAUGGGUGUUAACACUUAUUCCACUUUUGCCCAUUCUAAAACUAGAGAAUCACUGAAGAAAUAAAUCAAAACUAAAAAUGCA
ensembl:lncRNA uncharacterized LOC112960496